GCGGAGGGCCGGAUGGCCGCGGGACCUGCAAGGGUUUCGAGGAAAGUCCGGACUCCACAAGACAACGGUGCCGGGUAACGCCCGGCUGGGGUAACCCAAGGGAAAGCGCCACAGAAAUGAAACCGCCCGUCGCACCUGCGGUUCGCCAAGGGAGACUGCGUACGGGUAAGGGUGAAACGGUGGGGUAAGAGCCCACCGCGGGACGGGCAACCGAACCGGCACGGCAAGCCCCACCGGGAGCAAUGCCAAAUAGGGACCGCGCGCGCGGCAGGUCGGGCAACCGAUACCGCCCGCAGGCACGUCUUGGCCCAGUGGUCCGGGUUGGCAGCUAGAGGGGCGUUGGCAACAGCGUCUCAAGAUGAAUGGUCAUCCAAGGGGGGCAACCCCCGGGACAAAAUCCGGCUUACAGGCCCUCCGCGCAA
rfam:Roseovarius marisflavi strain DSM 29327 genome assembly, contig: Ga0131176_102